rnacentral:rRNA from 1 species
UACAUAGGUGGCAAGCGUUGUUCGGAAUUACUGGGCGUAAAGGGCUCGUAGGCGGCCUACUAAGUCAGACGUGAAAUCCCCCGGCUUAACCUGGGAACUGCGUCUGAUACUGGAAGGCUUGAGGAUGGGAGAGGGAUGUAGAAUUCCAGGUGUAGCGGUGAAAUGCGUAGAUAUCUGGAGGAAUACCGGUGGCGAAGGCGGCAUCCUGGACCAUUACUGACGCUGAGGCGCGAAAGCUAGGGGAGCAAACGGG